GCUGGUCUUGCUCCAGAGCACUGGUUGGCUGUAAGGAUUGAGUGCAACUACUAUUUUCAUCAUGGUUUCUCAGAAACGGCACAAUUUUCACCUGACAGAGCAGGGAAAGAUUUGAUGCUCCCGCAUGACUUCAUUAAGAUUGUUAUUUUGAUGCUUAGACUAUGACUUUAAGGGCAAGAGAUCUCACUGAUGUUUUAACAAACUUUGAUGUUAGGGGGAAAUAUUAGCAUUGCUUAGUGAUAAUACAA